AACAAAACCAAUUUUAAAUGAACGUUCUCUCUAUGGCGAUGAAGGCGGCGAUCUAGGGUCUCGAUGAUUUAUGGAAACUAGGAUCCGGGUAUUGGUACAAGUUUAUGGUUCGAUUCGGAGGCUACAGGUUACGAUUCUGAUGGAUGGAAAGUGGAGUUUUAUUCGAUUUAAACGGGGUUUGAUUUGGAGCUCAAAAAGGGGAUCUCGGGAGUUAAGGAAAAUCAAGAUCGGGUCUGAAUGGAGAAUGAUUUCGACUAUCAUCAAUACGGAAUCUCAGUUUUAUGAAGGUAACGGAGAGAAGAUGAAGAAUGGUGAAGGGACCCGUAAGAGACUGAAGAUUGUGUCUUUCUUCAACGCGAUCUCGGUGGUGUGUGGACAAUGGCGAGUGGUCAUGGAGUGCAAACUGAAUUAUUAGAUCAACUUUGGCUUGUGUAUCGGGAAUUUUAUUUUACUUGGCAGGAACGGGAAAGCUUGGAGAGUACAUGGAUACGGCCCUUGGAAGUUCGAGACGGGAACGCGGUAAGCGUAUUAUGGAGCCUCAUGUUUGUAUUUGAAGCUCAGUACACAGGGGUUCUAUGGCGAUUAUUAGUUCAAAAUAAAAGGAUCAUUGUUGUACGGGAACUGAUUAAUGGUGUAGAUUGUUUAGGUGAUCAGACUUUAUCAAAUUAUAACAAAGUCCAUCUUUCUUGUCA